rnacentral:rRNA from 1 species
UGGGGGAUAUUGCACAAUGGGCGAAAGCCUGAUGCAGCGACGCCGCGUGGGGGAUGAAGGCCUUCGGGUUGUAAACUUCUUUUGCUCUGAACAAGGCGCACCAUGGGGUGUGUUGAGUGUAGGGGUUGAUUAGCGCCGGCUAACUACGUGCCAGCAGCCGCGGUAAUACGUAGGGCGCGAGCGUUGUCCGGAAUUAUUGGGCGUAAAGGGCUUGUAGGUGGCUGGUUGCGUCUGUCGUGAAAGCUCAUGGCUUAACUGUGGGUUUGCGGUGGGUACGGGCUGGCUUGAGUGCAGUAGGGGAGGGUGGAAUUCCUGGUGUGGCGGUGGAAUGCGCAGAUAUAAGGAGGAAUACCGGUGGCGAAGGCGGGUCUCUGGGCUGUUACUGACACUGAGGAGCGAAAGCAUGGGGAGCGAACAGG